rnacentral:misc_RNA from 1 species
UAGCCGGUGAAAGUCCGGUCGCGGGAAGGGCCAAGCCCCCGCGUAGCUAGGAUACCUACGUAUGGCGAAAUCUGUACGUAGAAGCGUAUCGACGAAAGU